CACAUUGGAUUGCUUAACUGUUUCAAUGCAGGUUGAAGCUGUGGCUUUUUAUUGCAUAUGUCGUAUCCUUUGUGUCUUUGGCAGCAUCAGUUGGGCUAUUGAUACAAGACGCACUCGGAAAAUCUGGUCCUUCAGCUUGGACAGGAGUUGCAGGUGUUCUGCAAUGUGUGUUUGUUUUAAUCAGUGGGCUGAUCUAUUGGACAUCACAUUCAGAAUCUUGAAGAUAUACCAUGGGAGAGGAACAUAAGUCAUUUGAUGGAAUCAUCCCAUACUCAAUCCAUCCCCUCGAGUAAGAGAUACAAUUGAUGCUUGUAUAAAUGUGUGUUGGUUGUACAGUGAUGCUAAGCACCAAGUGUUAAACGCUCGUAUCUUCUUUCUACAUAUUGUUAUAAUGACUAAUUUGAAAUUUCAGUGGAAAGCUUCAGGAAGUAUAUGUCUUUGUGGUUACUGAACUGAUGAUGAAAUGUUUUGUUUCGAAAGACACUUUUGAUUAUAGCUUUUACGUUAAGCCCUA